CUACGGGGCGCAGCAGUGGGGAAUAUUGCACAAUGGGCGCAAGCCUGAUGCAGCCAUGCCGCGUGUAUGAAGAAGGCCUUCGGGUUGUAAAGUACUUUCAGCGGGGAGGAAGGGAGUAAAGUUAAUACCUUUGCUCAUUGACGUUACCCGCAGAAGAAGCACCGGCUAACUCCGUGCCAGCAGCCGCGGUAUACGGAGGGUGCAAGCGUUAAUCGGAAUUACUGGGCGUAAAGCGCACGCAGGCGGUUUGUUAAGUCAGAUGUGAAAUCCCCGGGCUCAACCUGGGAACUGCAUCUGAUACUGGCAAGCUUGAGUCUCGUAGAGGGGGGUAGAAUUCCAGGUGUAGCGGUGAAAUGCGUAGAGAUCUGGAGGAAUACCGGUGGCGAAGGCGGCCCCCUGGACGAAGACUGACGCUCAGGUGCGAAAGCGUGGGGAGCAAACAGGAUUAGAUACCCUAGUAGUC
rnacentral:rRNA from 1 species